GUGCUCACUUCAGAAGCACAUAUAUCGGAAGUGGAACCACACAGAGAUCAGUAUGUCCCCUGCACAAGGAUGAUAUGAAAAUUAGCAGUCUUCCAUAUUUCC
ensembl:snRNA U6 U6 spliceosomal RNA